AGAGUGAACGCUGGCGGUAGGCCUAACACAUGCAAGUCGAACGGCAGCACAGGAGAGCUUGCUCUCUGGGUGGCGAGUGGCGGACGGGUGAGGAAUACAUCGGAAUCUACCUUUUCGUGGGGGAUAACGUAGGGAACUUACGCUAAUACCGCAUAAGACCUUCGGGUGAAAGCCGGGGACCUUCGGGCCUGGCGCGGAUAGAUGAGCCGAUGUCGGAUUAGCUUGUUGGCGGGGUAAAAGCCCAACCGAAGGCGACGACUCCCGUAGCCUGGUCUGGAGAGGAUGAUCAGCCACACGUGAACUGAGACACGGUCCAGAC
rnacentral:rRNA from 1 species